rnacentral:lncRNA from 1 species
AUAUUGGACUAAGAAGCAUCUUGUAGAUACAUAUACUGUCCAGAAGUUUGAUGGUGAUAAUUUUAUGAAAAUGUGGAAUAGUGGAAGUAAUGAAACAACACAGAAAGUGAAUGGUAUGUUUGUUGAUUUUAUCAGUUACAUUAACAAGAUAUAUCGAGGAAGAUGUGGUAUGAGUGCCAAUGAGACAACUCUCCAUUCAAAUCACAAAUUAUUAUAGUAAACCACUAUAGGUCAAGGUACGGUCUUCAAAACAGCCUUGGCUCAAACUAAACAGCUAAAAAGGGCCCUAAAUAUUACAAGUGUAAAACCAUUCCAACCAGAAAACGAACAGUCUAAUAUACGAGAAACAAGAAACACUUAUGAGUAAGAGCAAAAAUUUGUCAGAUUGGAGAUUGAACACUGUGCCUGAGUAAAAGGACAAGUUGUUGUGACCUUGUGAGCUAGCAUGAUUAAAAAUCAUAGCUCAGCUUGUCAAUAUGAAAAUACGAUGUGGUAUGAUUGUCAAUGAGACAACUAUUCAACGUAGUUCUUUAUCAAUAGUCUUUCAAAUAAUCAUUGUAUUUCUCUUAAGGUGGUACCUAACACCUUGACUAAAAUUAAUUUGUCUUGUUUAAUUUUCAUAAAAGUUUGACAAAAUAUUUACUUUGACCAUUUGAAAAAAAAAAUUAAAUAUAAAAAUUUCAAAAAACUGGAACCAAUCACUUUCUCAGAUACUAAAUUUCAUUGGAUAUACAUUGUAUAGCAGUUUGAUAAACAUUUAUUUUGAUCAUUGAGAAGCUGAAUAUUUCUGUAACAAUACGAUGUAAUUAAAACGUUUAGCAGAUUUUACAGAGUAAUCUCCCUUUAGUGUUAGGUACCACCUUUAGCAGAAGCCAAACAUUUAAGAAAAGCUGAAUUAUUGCAUAUUUCAUUUAUUAAAUAACACAAAUAAUCCUGAAAAAAACCCAGAUAAUCUCUUAAUUUCUUAGGUUCCAAAUUAUGAUGAUUUACAAAUUGAAGCUGUUACAUAGUAAAUAUCAUCUGCACUUGUUGUUACAUAUAACAAUCAGUUAAUUCCCUUGAAUGAAUUGUAACAUCUGUUUCUUUAGAAUAGCAGUGAAUGCAAAAUCUUUUACAGCAAUAUAUUAGUUAUUUUCCACUGUAUUGUAUUUAAAAUUAUGAUUUAUAUGGACAUCCAUAACACUUUUUCUUAUUGCUAUACACCAUGUACACAAUAUAACUAACAUUUGUCUUUAUCUUUGCUUUCAGAUGCUUUGUGUUAUGUGAAGUUUUUGUUGGAUGAUACUUGAAACUGUUUGUUUCUAAGGAUUCAACAUUCUUUUAAUAAGUCUCCACAGAAGUAAAUAGAGAAAAUACAAUGCUGGACAUGUAUUAUUAACAGUACUGUUUGUACCUGGAUGAUGAUGCAUCAUUAUUUAUACAGAAAUAAUCUUGUGUUAGCAAAUUACUUGAUAAAAGAAAUUUAAAGGA